rnacentral:rRNA from 1 species
GGAUCAGUCGCGUUGGGGGAUUCAGCCUUGCUUCUGCUUGGUGUAUUUCCUGUCCGACGGGUCAGUGUCGAUUUCGACUGAGGGAAAAAGGCUUGGGGAAUGUGGCCAUCUUCGGGUGGUGUUAUAGCCCCUUGUUGUAUGUCUCAGUUGGGAUCGAGGUCAGCAGCGCGCCUUUUGGCCGGGGUUCGCGCCCUCGGUACGCGCUUAGGACACUGGCAUAAUGGCUUUAAGCGACCCGUCUUGAAACACGGACCAAGA